AGUUAAACAGUACGUGAAAUUGUUGAAAGGGAAACGAUUAAAGUCAGUCGUACCUACGAGUAAUCAACCUACACGAGCGCGAUUUUGUGGGUAUGAAGAGGUAAAAACCUUCAUGCUUACUAAUUGGUGUUCUUUGGGCGUACUUUCUCGUAUGGUUGGUUAACAUCAAUUUCGAUCGUUAUAAAAUGACGGGAGGAAUGUAGCUUCGACUUCGGUUGAAGUGUUAUAGCCUCUGGUAGAUGUAAUGAUUGGGAUUGAGGAUUGCAACGGAUACCCUCUGGGCUAUUCGUCUGAUCUCUGGAAGUUACCUUGGUGUCGAAAGCGUGCUUAUGACAUUAAGAAUGACGGCCAAAAGGUUAGAACGGAAUUAAAUUCGUUAAGGAUGUUGACGUAAUGGCUUUAAA
rnacentral:misc_RNA from 1 species